GAUCUCAGCAUCAGUCUCUCUCUACCUCUGGAGGUGGAAUAUCAGGAGAAAAACAGCUACAGCUGUGUGAUCAACAAUCCCAUCACAAACCAGACCACACAUCUGGACAUCAGCAAAGUCUGUCAUAUUCACUCAGAUCAGAUCCUACUCUUGUUUUGCAUUUUCAUGAUUUGUGUUGCUGGAUCUCUGUUGAUUGUCGCUGCAGUUGUGAUGCGCUGCAGGAAAAGUAGAAAAACAGUCUACAUCCAAGAGGAAGACUGAAUGAAUGCAGCAUUUCGUAAACCAUCAAGAGAAAAGAAAUCAAAGAUGAAUGCGGAAUAUGGAAAUGUCCCCAAAACACGAUGAUCAGUAGCUGUAAAAAAAAAAA